rnacentral:rRNA from 1 species
UACGGGGGGAGCAAGCGUUGUUCGGAUUUACUGGGCGUAAAGGGCGCGUAGGCGGUCAGCACAAGUCAAUUGUGAAAUCUCCGAGCUUAACUCGGAAAGGUCAACUGAAACUGUGCGACUAGAGUGCGGAAGGGGCAACUGGAAUUCUUGGUGUAGCGGUGAAAUGCGUAGAUAUCAAGAGGAACACCGGUGGCGAAGGCGGGACUCUGGGCCGAUACUGACGCUGAGGAGCGAAAGCGUGGGGAGCGAACAGG